rnacentral:rRNA from 1 species
UUAAUUGAAGAGUUUGAUCAUGGCUCAGAUUGAACGCUGGCGGCAGGCCUAACACAUGCAAGUCGAGCGGUAGCACAGGAGAGCUUGCUCUCUGGGUGACGAGCGGCGGACGGGUGAGUAAUGUCUGGGAAACUGCCUGAUGGAGGGGGAUAACUACUGGAAACGGUAGCUAAUACCGCAUGACGUCUUCGGACCAAAGUGGGGGACCUUCGGGCCUCACGCCAUCAGAUGUGCCCAGAUGGGAUUAGCUAGUAGGUGGGGUAAUGGCUCACCUAGGCGACGAUCUCUAGCUGGUCUGAGAGGAUGACCAGCCACACUGGAACUGAGACACGGUCCAGACUCCUACGGGAGGCAGCAGUGGGGAAUAUUGCACAAUGGGCGCAAGCCUGAUGCAGCCAUGCCGCGUGUAUGAAGAAGGCCUUCGGGUUGUAAAGUACUUUCAGCGAGGAGGAAGGCAUUGUGGUUAAUAACCGCAGUGAUUGACGUUACUCGCAGAAGAAGCACCGGCUAACUCCGUGCCAGCAGCCGCGGUAAUACGGAGGGU